AGUGAACGCUGGCGGUAGGCCUAACACAUGCAAGUCGAACGGCAGCACAGUAAGAGCUUGCUCUUACGGGUGGCGAGUGGCGGACGGGUGAGGAAUACAUUGGAAUCUACUUUUUAGUGGGGGAUAACGUAGGGAAACUUACGCUAAUACCGCAUACGACCUACGGGUGAAAGCAGGGGAUCUUCGGACCUUGCGCGAUUGAAUGAGCCGAUGUCGGAUUAGCUAGUUGGCGGGGUAAAGGCCCACCAAGGCGACGAUCCGUAGCUGGUCUGAGAGGAUGAUCAGCCACACUGGGACUGAGACACGGUCCAGACUCCUACGGGAGGCAGCAGUGGGGAAUAUUGGACAAUGGGCGCAAGCCUGAUCCAGCCAUACCGCGUGGGUGAAGAAGGCCUUCGGGUUGUAAAGCCCUUUUGUUGGGAAAGAAAAGCAGCAGGUUAAUACCCCGCUGUUCUGACGGUACCCAAAGAAUAAGCACCGGCUAACUACGUG
rnacentral:rRNA from 1 species